ACGAACGCUGGCGGCGUGCUUAACACAUGCAAGUCGAACGAGUUAUAGCAAUAUAGCUAGUGGCGAACGGGUGAGUAACACGUGACUAAUCUGCCCCGGACUGGGGAAUAACAUCGGGAAACUGAUGCUAAUACCGCAUAUUGAGACUGAAUCGCAUGGUUUGGUCUUGAAAGCUUUGGCGGUCCGGGAUGCGGUCGCGUCCUAUCAGCUUGUUGGCGAGGUAAUGGCUCACCAAGGCGACGAUGGGUAGCUGGUCUGAGAGGAUGAUCAGCCACACUGGGACUGAGAUACGGCCCAGACUCCGACGGGAGGUAGCAGUGAGGAAUAUUGCGCAAUGGACGAAAGUCUGACGCAGCAACGCCGCGUGAAGGAUGAAGGUGCUUUGCAUUGUAAACUUCUGUAAGGAGGGAAGAACCCCCCGCGUUUGGCGGGGCUGACGGUACCUCCAAAGUAAGCACCGGCUAAUUCAGU
rnacentral:rRNA from 1 species